rnacentral:lncRNA from 1 species
UUCUUUGUCUUUGUUACUUUAUAUUUAUGUAUUCACGUGUGUGUGAGUGGAGGGAGCGCCUGCCAUGGCCUGUGCAGGUUAGAGGACAGACAGUUGUGGGAAUUACUUCUCUCCUUCUGCUAUGCUGGUCCUGAGGGGGAACUCAGGUCGCUGGGCUGUGCCUCUAGCUGCUGAGCAGUCUUUCUGGAACCCCACCCCCACUUUCGUGUGCGUGUUUCUAUUAAAGCAGCCUCCCCAGUUUGUGGAUAUUCACCUUGAAGAAGAUGACUCCUCAGAUGAAGAGUAUUCGCCAGAUGAGGAAGAGGAGGAUGAGACAGCUGAAGAGGUCAGCGGGUGCUCAUUGUUAGUAGAGAGUGAAGCUGGGCUUCAUAGGAAGGGCUGACUUGGGGAAUUAGUGUUGUCACCCAUUCUAGGGAGAUGAUUGAAGCAUGCUUCUCCUAGAAAUUGCUUUGCUGUGAGGUGUUAUUGUGUUCUUUAAACUCCCUAAAUAUUUAAAUAUAAUUAUGAAGUAUAACAUAUAACACAAAGGUGAACUAUAGUUUCAGUACCUGGGACGUGCAGGUGGGAGGGUCAGGGAUUCAACUUUAUCCUUAGCUAACAAUAUGUUUUAAGCCCUGUUUGAGAAACCAACAGACAAGUUGUACCCCAACCCUGAAGUCUUGAUGGUAGCUACUGUUUCUUUAUAGUUACAUCAGCUCUAUACCUAUCACCUGGUGUGACUUCAUGUAUCCCCUGAUAGAGACCUUUAUGUACUGUGGCGUGAGUUUUCCUGUUCAUGAGCUUUAUUGUUGUUGUUGUUGUUAAUUUAUUUUAUUUUUUAUUUUAUUUUUGAGAAAGGGUCUCAUUAUGUAGCUGUAGCUAGCCUAGAGUUCCCUAGGUAUAUCAAGCUAGCCUCAAAGUCAUAGAGAUCCUCCUGCCUCUGCCUCCUGAGUGCUGGAAUUAAAGGUGUGAGCCACCACGGUUGGCCUUUUAUAAAAAAGGUUUUCUUCUUCUUUAUGUUUGUUUUUUUGUUAAUGCCUUACCCUUUAACAGUUUAUGACGAGAUGAGGUGAAAGAUUUGAUUCCUGCCAUCUUUCCAUCUCUAGGCUAUUAAGUCAUUGAAAAUUCAUUUUUUUCUGUGACAUAUACAAUUAUUAUAUGCAUGACAUAUUCUUUCUAUGACACAUAUUAUAUAUGUGUGUAUGUAUAUAUGCAUGUAUAUACCUGUGUGUGGGGUUGUUUGUUUGUUUGUGUGCGUGUGCCACAGUUUGGUGGUAGAGAUGAGAGGACAUUCUGAUAAGAGUAGAUUCUUCCCUUCUACCAUGUGGAUCUUGGGAGUUGGAUUCAGGUUGCCAGGCUUGGUUGCUUACACCCAGUCUUCUGCUGUGCCAUCCUACCGACCCAAAUCCCAAAUGACUGGUAUUUUGUGCUUUAUUCUGUUGUGACAUUUCGUGCUCUGGACGGAGGUUGGGGCACACACAUGAGAGCGCCCUGGGUUUGUUUUAGAGCUUAUUGGAAAGUGAUGUUGAAAGCACUGCUUCGUCUCCACGGGGAGUGAAGAGAUCCAGACUGCGGCUGUCUUCUGAAGUGGCCGAGACAGAUGAGGAGAGUGGCAUGUUGUCAGAGGUAAUCAGCGUCAGACAAGGAGACUUUACACACUAGAUGAGCACUGGCUGCUUUUUAUAAGUAGCUGAUCUAUCAGUGGGAUUUUGGGUUUUCAUUUUUUUCAAAGUUCCUCAAGGGAAUGAACAGUUAAGAGACGACUGAGACCUAGUCAUGGCAGAGAAGUUUUCUGAGUUCUCAUGUGUUACAUACUAUCUUUAAAGCCAAGUAGUGUUCUGUUUGCUUCAUUGGAAAUAAGAUGAUAGCUAGUUAGAUCUGUGUGUUGAAGUUGCCAUUCAUCUGUCUGCAUCUAGAAAAGAGGAAAAUGGCCACGAUAAGUGCAUGUGGAAGACCCGCCUUUCCCUCUCCCUCCUCUCUUCCUAACACAGUGUCCUUUUUUAAUCAGGUUGAAAAAGCCGCCACCCCUGCCCUCAGGCACAUCAGUGCUGAGGUCGUGCCCAUGGGGCCUCCACCUCCUCCCAAACCAAAGCAGAGCAGAGACAGUGUUUUCAUGGAGAAGCUAGAUGCGGUGGAUGAGGAGCUGGCCUCCAGUCCUGUCUGCAUGGACUCUUUCCAGGUAAGCAUCGCCAGGGAGUUGUCGAGAGAAUAACUUACCGUUAUUUACUUUCUGCUCAGAUAAGGCUGUGGGGCUGACAGGGAUGACAGUUUCUUCUUAGGUGGGUGUCCCGUUACUGUUUGUCUUUGAUUCUCACGCUUUGUGCUGCUGCUUUUUCAGGUAAAAAUGCAGUACUUUUGUUGUUGUUGUUGUUUAUUAUUAAUUAUUAUUUUGUUUUUUGAGAGAUCACCUGCCUCUGUCUCCCAAGUGCUGGGAUUAAAGACACCCAGCCUGGCUUUUUUUUUUUCUUACUUUCUGUUUUUAAAGACAGGGUCAUAGUAGGUAGUCCUCGAAGGAAGUCUUGGGACUUGAUAGGUAGACUGGUUGGCCUUAAACAUAGCUCCCUAAAAUGCUGGGAUAAAUGGUACACACCGCCAUGCCCAACUGAGAUUGACAGGUUUUAAGAAAGGAAUAAACAGUGGGACAGUAUUUAAAAUUAGCAAGAUAAGCUGUGCAUAGUGGUAGAUGCCUUUAAUCCUAGCACUAAAAACAAAAUUAAAAAAAAGAAAGGUAAUGUGAAGACAAACCUAGAAUAUUUGAAAAUAUUUACAAGCUGCAUUUUGAUCAGAGACUUAAAACUACAAUCAAUUUAAAGAACAUAAAAUUCUGGAGCUAAGAGAUGGCUCAGUAAUUAAGAACACUGAUGCCAGGAUUGGUGUAGAGCACUCCUUUAGCUCUGAGUUCAUGGCCAGCCUGAUCUAUGGAGUGAGUUCCAGGACAGCCAGGGAACCCUGUCUCAGAGCAAC